rnacentral:rRNA from 1 species
CCUACGGGUGGCAGCAGUAGGGAAUAUUGCUCAAUGGGGGAAACACGGAAGCAGCAAAGCCGCGUGGAGGAUGAAGGUUUUCGGAUUGUAAACUCCUUUUGUUAGAGAAGAGAAUGACGGUAUCUAACGAAUAAGCACCGGCUAACCCCGUGCCAGCAGCCGCGGUAAUACGGAGGGUGCAAGCGUUACUCGGAAUCACUGGGCGCAAAGAGCGCGGAGGCGGGAUCGCAAGUCAGGUGUGAAAUCCUAUGGCUUAACCAUAGAACUGCAUUUGAAACUGUUAUUCUAGAGUAUGGGAGAGGUAGGUGGAAUUCUUGGUGUAGGGGUAAAAUCCGUAGAGAUCAAGAGGAAUACUCAUUGCGAAGGCGACCUGCUAGAACAUAACUGACGCUGAGGAGCGACAGCGUGGGUAGCAAACAGGAUUAGAUACCCUUGUAGUC